rnacentral:lncRNA from 1 species
CACUUUAUAAAAACGGAGACGUGACGGUGGGGACGUGACCACAGCACUAAUCUCACCACACAUCACACCAUCAGAAGCGUCCAGUCCAGAAUAAUGGGACAGCCUACGAAGAUACAUCUGCUGGGCCAGCUCAGAGGUUCUGGCUCACGGGAUGAUGAAGAUAUGAAAAUUUGACUAUGGCACUGACAAGCCCAGAUGGCACCUCCAGGAGCUCCCCAUGCCCUCCUCUAUGGAUUGCUCAAGACCUUGAAUACACUUCCAGAGAAAAUUCAGACUUUGAGCUGGAGUUUAUCCCUGAUCUGAAGAUUGGCUUCAAGAGUUGUUCAUCAAGAGGAGUGAAUCACAGUCACUAAAGGCACCUUCCUGUGACAUUUUGGAUGGCUCCUGGAAUAAAUUUCUACCACUGAGGAACCUUGCUGGUGAGGCAGAAGUCUCUGUCUCCACAGAGAAAAAGCCAAAAGAAGGGAGUUGUGCAUCUACUUAGAAUAAGAGAAAACGGUUUCCAGAUGGCUAAUGAAUGGUUAGGUUUCUCCGUCACAUGGCAACAAGUCUUACUUCCUCAAAUGCUGGUUCUAAGGACUACUGUGAAAUCCUACUAUUGAGAUUCAUCUAGAUCCAAUUCCAUCUCAUUAUUGUGGAGAUACGGUGCAGAGAACAAUACAUGAAUAAAUACAACUGGAUUCUGCUCUACUGAGGGAAGAAGGGAAUAGAAUAUGGAUGCCCUUCCAGACCAAAACACAAAUCUCCAACAAAGAAGAACUCUUGGCUGACCAGCACUCUCCUUGCAGCUUCUCUCAGCAUCUGAAUUCAAAGCUGCCG